ACGGCUAUAUAACUUUGAAACACCAGUUCACAUCAGAUCACCGAAGUUAAGCAACGUCGAGCCUGGUCCGUAUUUAGAUGGGUGACCGCAUGUGAAUGCCAGGUGCUGUAAG